UACGAAGGGGGCUAGCGUUGUUCGGAAUCACUGGGCGUAAAGCGCGCGUAGGCGGACUUUUAAGUCAGGGGUGAAAUCCCGGGGCUCAACCCUGGAACUGCCUUUGAUACUACUAGUCUUGAGUUCGAGAGAGGUGAGUGGAAUUCCGAGUGUAGAGGUGAAAUUCGUAGAUAUUCGGAGGAACACCAGUGGCGAAGGCGGCUCACUGGCUCGAUACUGACGCUGAGGUACGAAAGUGUGGGGAGCAAACAGG
rnacentral:rRNA from 1 species